rnacentral:rRNA from 1 species
AACGAACGCUGGCGGCAUGCCUAACACAUGCAAGUCGAACGAGACCUUCGGGUCUAGUGGCGCACGGGUGCGUAACGCGUUGGAACCUGCCCUUAGGUUCGGAAUAACUCCCCGAAAGGGGUGCUAAUACCGGAUAAUGUCUUCGGACCAAAGAUUUAUCGACUUUGGAUGGGCCCGCGUUGGAUUAGCUAGUUGGUAGGGUAAAAGCCUACCAAGGCGACGAUCCAUAGCUGGUCUGAGAGGAUGAUCAGCCACACUGGGACUGAGACACGGCCCAGACUCCUACGGGAGGCAGCAGUGGGGAAUAUUGGACAAUGGGCGAAAGCCUGAUCCAGCAAUGCCGCGUGAGUGAUGAAGGCCUUAGGGUUGUAAAGCUCUUUUACCCGGGAUGAUAAUGACAGUACCGGGAGAAUAAGCUCCGGCUAACUCCGUG